rnacentral:rRNA from 1 species
AUGGCAACUCUGAAAGAUGCAGUAGCACGGAAGCCUAUACUGGCAACAAUCCGCCUGCUUGUUCCAGCUGGUGCUGCACGUCCUGCACCACCAGUUGGUCCGGCACUCGGUUUUUAUAGGCUCAAUUUGAUGGCAUUCUGCAAGGAUUUCAAUGCAAGGACCCAGAAAUACAAGGCAGAAACUCCUAUGCAGGUCACGCUAACUGCCUACAAAGAUAGCACUUUCGAGUUUGUAGUCAAGUCGCCGUCCGUUUCAUGGUUCCUCAAGAAGGCAGCAGGAAUUGAGACCGCCAGCACUCGUCCUGGUCACAACGUUGUGUCAUCCCUAACACUCCGCCACGUUUAUGAGAUUGCAAAACUUAAACAAGCUGACCCCUUCUGCAAGCAUAUGUCGCUCGAGGCGUUGUGCAAAUCUAUCAUUGGCACAGCUAACUCAAUGGGCAUUGAGAUUGUCAAGGAUCUCUGA